rnacentral:tRNA from 1 species
ACUUUUAAAGGAUAACAGUCAAUCCACUGGUCU